UGGGGAAUAUUGGACAAUGGGGGCAACCCUGAUCCAGCAAUGCCGCGUGUGUGAAGAAGGUCUUCGGAUUGUAAAGCACUUUCGACGGGGACGAUGAUGACGGUACCCGUAGAAGAAGCCCCGGCUAACUUCGUGCCAGCAGCCGCGGUAAUACGAAGGGGGCUAGCGUUGCUCGGAAUGACUGGGCGUAAAGGGCGUGUAGGCGGUUUACACAGUCAGAUGUGAAAUCCCCGGACUUAACCUGGGAGCUGCAUUUGAUACGUGUAGACUAGAGUGUGAGAGAGGGUUGUGGAAUUCCCAGUGUAGAGGUGAAAUUCGUAGAUAUUGGGAAGAACACCGGUGGCGAAGGCGGCAACCUGGCUCAUGACUGACGCUGAGGCGCGAAAGCGUGGGGAGCAAACAGGUUAGAUACCCUGGUAGUCCACGCUGUAAACGAUGUGUGCUAGAUGUUGGGUAACUUUGUUAUUCAGUGU
rnacentral:rRNA from 1 species